GAGAAAUCAACCGGACAUAGGACUAUUCCUCAUCACUCACAUGAGCCAGAGGGAUUGGAGAAGCCGUAUGGGCUUCAUCAAAUUUCUCGGUUUGAAAUUUUAAAUA